rnacentral:lncRNA from 1 species
UAGGAAACAAAAUGGUGCAUUUUCGAAUCUUGAAAAUUGGGAUAUCUCGGACAUAUAUCCCAGAAACAUUUGGCAAAUAUCGGUAUCCGAGAUGUAUUUGAUGUAGACAUGACAUGCGAUCUUAAGUAUUUGUGCUUUGUAGCCUUCUCUUCAACACUUCUCAGAGUGUAUGAGCCUAUUUAAACAUACUAGUAACUCUCUCAAGUCUCAACACAUGAGUCCAUGUCUAAUUUUGGAAAGUGAACCUAUAAAGGUGUCUCCAACUGGGCUAAUUUUUUCAAAAAUGUGAUUGAUUUACCCAUGGGAUAAGGCUUGUUACCAUACGGUACAUGUUGUGCUAGUGAAGUGGCAACAUGGUAAAAUGUUACAUAACCCCAGUAUGAUACAUGUCCCUCUGUGCCAGUGCCAGUGAAUGUUGAACCAGCCCACCAGCACAGACUGAUAUGAGCCAACUUGGAUCUGUUUUUGUUGCCACAAGCCUCCACAGCUUUGCAUGUGGUUGUGCACGUGUCUGAAAUGGCUUAACAUGGUAUGUAUCGUACAAGCCCGUCAUUGGUAUGAGCAUAGCUUCUGGUACCUAUAUUCUUGAAUUUACCACCAGCAAUAAGCUGAAUCUAUCCUACAAGUCAUUCUACCACCGG